UACAGAGGUCUCAAGCGUUGUUCGGAUUCAUUGGGCGUAAAGGGUGCGUAGGCGGCGCGGUAAGUCGGGUGUGAAAACUCGAGGCUUAACCUCGAGCUGUCGGCGGAAACCAUCUGGCUAGAGUCCGGAAGAGGAGAAUGGAAUUCCCCGGUGUAGCGGUGAAAUGCGCAGAUAUCGGGAAGAACACCCGUGGCGAAGGCGGCUCUCUGGGACGGUACUGACGCUGAGACGCGAAAGCGUGGGGAGCGAACAGG
rnacentral:rRNA from 1 species